rnacentral:lncRNA from 1 species
GUAGAAGAAAUUGGUUCUCAUUACGGUGAAUAUAAUCAACGAGGUCCUGAUCUAAGUCAGAAUUUCAGACAUAAAAAAUACUAGACCAAAGUUUCUCUGACUUGGGUGAUUGGAAAUGUUUUUUCCACCGGUAUUUUCAGCUUUCCAGCUUCUGAUGGUUUGCAGAUCUUACCUAGACCUUCAGCAUCAGCCCUCAUGUAUGUCCACCAAUACUCUAGCACCAAAUAAUAGACUGGAAUUAUUACAUUAAUGAUGAUCAUGAAUCCCCUUCAAACAAUCAAGCAUCAAUAGGAUUAUUUUUUAAAUUGGAAAUCAGAUCAUGCACUGGAGGGAAAAAAAGACUGCAUAUUUGACAGCUUACAAACUAUGAUCUCAAAUUCACUGAUAAAGAGAAACAGGCAUAUUGGUUAGUACUUUUUGGCUCAUCUGACCAGGCAGUUAGCAAAAGGAUGGUUGACAACAAGAGCCAAUAUGGCUAAUUAAAAGGUAUAACAUCAGAACCAAUCUGUGGAUUUGAAGAGGAAGAAUCCUCCCUAAAAAAAAAAAGUAAAAGAAAAAAAGAAAAAAGAAAGAAAAAAGAAAAUAAGGGAAACAAAAGAGGUGAGGGUUUCUCUCUCUCUUCCCUCUCUAUUCUCUAUACAUUCUCUCUCCAUGUUUUCUUUCUAUAUAAGUUUUUAUCUAUAGAAUUUUCUGUUUAGGAAUUUUAUGAAUGAAAGA